rnacentral:rRNA from 1 species
GUGGGGAAUCUUGCGCAAUGGGCGAAAGCCUGACGCAGCCAUGCCGCGUGAAUGAUGAAGGUCUUAGGAUUGUAAAAUUCUUUCACCGGGGACGAUAAUGACGGUACCCGGAGAAGAAGCUCCGGUUAACUUCGUGCCAGCAGCCGCGGUAAUACGAAGGGGGCUAGCGUUGCUCGGAAUUACUGGGCGUAAAGGGCGCGUAGGCGGACAGCUUAGUCAGAGGUGAAAGCCCAGGGCUCAACCUUGGAAUUGCCUUUGAUACUGGCUGUCUUGAGUUUGGGAGAGGUGAGUGGAACUCCGAGUGUAGAGGUGAAAUUCGUAGAUAUUCGGAAGAACACCAGUGGCGAAGGCGACUCACUGGCCCAAUACUGACGCUGAGGCGCGAAAGCGUGGGGAGCAAACAGGAUUAGAUACCCUGGUAGUCC